UGGGGAAUAUUGCACAAUGGACGGAAGUUUGAUGCAGCGACGCCGCGUGGAGGGUGUAGGCCUUCGGGUUGUGAACUCCUUUUUCUCGCGAAAAAGGCACAGUUUUGGCUGUGUUGAUGGUAGUGGGGGAAGAAGCGCCGGCUAACUACGUGCCAGCAGCCGCGGUAAUACGUAGGGCGCGAGCGUUGUCUGGAUUUAUUGGGCGUAAAGAGCUCGGAGGUGGUUCGUCGCGUCUGUCGUGAAAGCCAGCAGCUUAACUGUUGGUCUGCGGUGGGUACGGGCGGGCUUGAGUGCGGUAGGGGUGACUGGAAUUCCUGGUGUAGCGGUGGAAUGCGCAGAUAUCAGGAGGAACACCGAUGGCGAAGGCAGGUCACUGGGCCGUUACUGACACUGAGGAGCGAAAGCGUGGGGAGCGAACAGG
rnacentral:rRNA from 1 species